rnacentral:rRNA from 1 species
UACGUGGGGAGCAAGCGUUGUCCGGAAUCAUUGGGCGUAAAGCGCGCGUAGGUGGCUUCGUAAGUCCGUUGUGAAAGUCAAAGGCUCAACCUUUGAAAGCCGAUGGAUACUGCGGAGCUAGAGUACGGAAGAGGCGAGUGGAAUUCCUGGUGUAGCGGUGGAAUGCGCAGGUAUCAGGAGGAACACCGGUGGCGAAGGCGGGUCUCUGGGCCGUAACCGACGCUGAGGAGCGAAAGCAUGGGGAGCGAACAGG